GUGAGCCUUCGUUGAUUGAUGUGUACUAUGUACACGCACAGGUUCAAGGAUGCAGAAUGUGUCAUCAGAUUCCCGGGAAAUGGAUGUGUCAGGCACAUAGGUGCUGGGGAUCAAACUGAUCAUCUGCAAGAGCUGAAAUGUUCAAAUUUCUAUUCCCAUCCUUCCGCUGACUUAGUAUUACCUUCUCAGGAAGCAGCUCAAGUAUGAAGAAGACAAACUAACAAAAAUUAUCACCCCAAACUGUGGCUACCAGUUAAAUAACAGUGAAGAAUUCAAAAGGAAAGAUGAAUUUAUACGAGAACGUCUUGUCAAUGAAGCAUUCAUGUGGAACCUCUACAGGAACAGAAAGUCCACAGCAGGCCUCACAAAGAGAACUCUGAGUCAACCUUGUUCCCGAAAAUGAACAUUUCGGUGUUAAGGUGAGAAUAGUGGACGGGAAAGACCUUCGAGACAAUGGAUGUAAACAAGUGAACUCAGCAACAUAAUCUAUUCUAAAUCAAUG
ensembl:lncRNA